rnacentral:tRNA from 1 species
GGGCGGUUAGCUCAGUUGGUUAGAGUGCUUGCUUGACAUGCAAGAGGUCGCUGGUUCAAAUCCAGUACCGCCCA